rnacentral:lncRNA from 1 species
AAGAUUGCGAUCCAGUUUCCAGUGGUGCUUGUUGCUGACCCAAAGCAGAGUUUCUACGAGGUUGCCUAUGCUUGGUGGAGACAGGAUCCAGGGAGAAAGAAAGGAAGCAGUGUCUCAUUAUAAGGUGGUUUGUAAUUCUCAAUCCUCAAACCUUCUAUGUACGAGAGGUUAAUAAUCUGUCUGAUUAUGAAUCAAGAGGAAAUGUCAAGAUACCAAAUUCAGUGUUCUCACUAAGUAUGAGAGACAGCCUUUGAAGAUCCCCCUUGUGGCAGUUGUCAGCUUGGAAAAGCAGUGCUUCUUCAAGUACUCCCACAUUCAGCUAAGGUUACUGUGCCCCACAAAUGGCGUAAAUUAUAUCUUUAUUUCACUUUAGUAACCUUAACAUGACCACUGGCAUAUUUAGAAUUGUGUAAUGUUAUGCACUGGGUAAUAUAGGUAUUUUUAGGUACCUUUGUCAUAUGCAUUGUGGUCAAAGCAUGAAGCUUCCUAACAGAUAGUACUUUUGGUUUUGCCUUUCUGUCCAAAAGACCUAUAAGAUUUCGCAUAUUCAUUUAAACACCUUCUAUAGCAGAAGAAUAACAGUUUUAUCUAUAGUGCCACUAUAAGAAAUCUUUUUUAGUUUUUCAUGCAACUCAUAUUCUCUACAUGCCAUGACCCCUGGAUAUUCACUCAUCAACAGAGAUACAUGUGUGGUAUUCUGAGAAAAAGCUCUUGGGGAAAAAAUACCUGAUUUUUGUUUUUUAAUUCGUUGUGUGACCCUGAAGAUGAAAACCACAGUCUAAAAAGAAUAGAAUAGAGAAGUCACAGUGACCCUAGUCUGUAUUUUUGCUUCUGAAAGAGUUUACAUUGGUAUUCAAUAUUAUAUCUAGACUUUCUCUUCCCC